rnacentral:rRNA from 1 species
GACGAACGCUGGCGGCGUGCUUAACACAUACAAGUCGAACGGAAAGGCCCUGCUUUUGUGGGGUGCUCGAGUGGCGAACGGGUGAGUAACACGUGAGUAACCUGCCCUUGACUUUGGGAUAACUUCAGGAAACUGGGGCUAAUACCGGAUAGGAGCUCCUGCUGCAUGGUGGGGGUUGGAAAGUUUCGGCGGUUGGGGAUGGACUCGCGGCUUAUCAGCUUGUUGGUGGGGUAGUGGCUUACCAAGGCUUUGACGGGUAGCCGGCCUGAGAGGGUGACCGGCCACAUUGGGACUGAGAUACGGCCCAGACUCCUACGGGAGGCAGCAGUGGGGAAUAUUGCACAAUGGGCGGAAGCCUGAUGCAGCAACGCCGCGUGCGGGAUGACGGCCUUCGGGUUGUAAACCGCUUUCGCCUGUGACGAAGCGUGAGUGACGGUAAUGGGUAAAGAAGCACCGGCUAACUACAUG